CAUUAAGCUCUCUUCAGACGAGGCGGAGAAGGAUUGACUGGGGAGAAAAGGUUUUAAUUGAGGCUCGAGAACACAGCGCGACGCUGCCCAAGUCCUUAAUUCCUGCUCUGACCACUGGGCGAUGCUCCCGUCGCGGCGGUGAGGAAACGCGAUCAUAAAGCCUUGGCUGCGAAAAAAGAAAGGUCCAGUUCUCGUAAGAUGCCAAGAGACUGGAGAGUUUGGCAUGGUUUCAAAAGGCGCUUAGAGAAAUCCGUAGAGGAGCUAUCCAAGCUCAUGGGUCUCCCCUGGAAGGAAAAUGAGAAUAUGUCCUUCUCUACACCAACAAUGAUGGUCCUGAUCCUUGCUUUUGUGUGCAAAGGUACGCUGAGCCACAAUCUGGGUUAUAGGCUGACGUCUCCUGCCUCUGUCUCCGUGCAGCGAGGCCUUUGCGUCCACAUUCCCUGCCACUUCACUUACGCCGCCCCACAUCAGACCGUCUCUGGCACGCUGUAUGGCUACUGGUUCAAGAACAACAAAGGGUCCUGGUACUAUUUCUACCCAAACAACCACUACGUCCAGGGUCUCCUUGUGGUCACCAAUGACAAGAGGCAACCGGUCGAGAGGUCCGCUGUUGGCCGUUUCCACCUGACGGGAGACCCGGCAGAAAGCAACUGCUCCUUCAGCAUCAACGAUGCCAAGUUUGAGGACAAGGGAACGUAUUACUUCAGAAUUGAAAGGGGAAAUUUAAGAUACACCUUUAUCACUAACCAGGCUGCGUCUGCUUCGCUUCACGUUGUUGUAACAGAGCUGACAGAGAAACCGAAGAUCUGGAACACGUCUGAGCUGGUUGUGGGGAAGCCAGUCACUGUCAUUUGUCAGGCACCAGGGAGCUGCUCAGGGACCCCACCCAAAAUCUCCUGGAGGACCGAGUCCAAAAGUUACAAGACCUCUCUAUUGCAUCAUCAACACAGCAGCAGGAGCUGGGCCUAUGAAUCAGAAAUCACCUUCCUGCCCUCCCUCGCUGACCAGGGCAAAGCUCUGACCUGCAGCGUCACCUAUCCCGCUGUAGGGGCAAGAGCUGAAGAAAGCAUCCACCUUCGCUUGGACUAUCAACCCCAGGACAUCAAGACUGUAGUGAACAUACAAAGGCCUGGAUGCCCUGGUUCAAGGGAAGAGGAAGAAGGUUUGGACCCCGUAGUGGCCUGGGAAGGUGACACUGUCAGAGUGAUCUGUCGUGCUGAAGGCAGGCCUGAUCCUUCCAUGGCCUGGAUGAAGGAGAACGAGAUUGUCACCAAAAUGAACCAGGGCAAAGCGCACACACUUCUAUUGCCCGAGAUCAGAUUACAGGAUGCUGGGGAAUAUCAGUGCCAAGCAAGGAAUCGGCUUGGCUUGACCAGCAAGACAAUUCGGGUGAUUGUGCAAUUCUGAGCAGAACACUUCCAGGCUACAGGCAGAAGUCAGAGGCACAGCAGAAGUCAUCAUCCUUGCAUAACGAAAAGUUGUGAAGCAAACAAGACCGUUCCACAAAGAUGAUUUGCCCUCUGAAAGGGACUAACAGAGAGGGAUCUUCGCCUGCCAAAUUCUGCCAACCCAUCUGUAAAAGACAAAUCACAGACUAGG